AAACAGACUUUUUUGGAUUCAAACCUGGAGUGUUGCUUUGAUUCUUUCAUGCAUGUCUGAGAAAUCCUUUAGUCUCCAUGGCGACCAUUCAGCUGCAAAACGCCUGGAUGGACCCGGCUCUGCCUUUGGGGUGCAGCUCCUUCUCAGAGCUGCAGUUUCCAAACUUCUGCCUCACAGAGCAGCUCAACCCUGUGACUCCAGCUCCUUCAGACUA